AUUGAACGCUGGCGGCAUGCCUUACACAUGCAAGUCGAACGGCAGCACGGGGGCAACCCUGGUGGCGAGUGGCGAACGGGUGAGUAACAUAUCGGAACAUACCCUAGAGUGGGGGAUAACGUAGCGAAAGUUACGCUAAUACCGCAUACGAUCUAAGGAUGAAAGUGGGGGAUCUUCGGACCUCAUGCUCAUGGAGUGGCCGAUAUCUGAUUAGCUAGUUGGUGAGGUAAAGGCUCACCAAGGCGACGAUCAGUAGCUGGUUUGAGAGAACGACCAGCCACACUGGAACUGAGACACGGUCCAGACUCCUACGGAGGCAGCAGUGGGGAAGUUUUGGACAAUGGGGCGAACCCUCGAGUCCACGCAAUGCCGCGUGAGCGAAGAAG
rnacentral:rRNA from 1 species